rnacentral:miRNA from 1 species
UAUCACAGCCAUCUUUGAUGAGCU